UACGUAGGGUGCAAGCGUUGUCCGGAAUUAUUGGGCGUAAAGAGCUCGUAGGCGGUUUGUCGCGUCUGCUGUGAAAACCCGAGGCUCAACCUCGGGCCUGCAGUGGGUACGGGCAGACUAGAGUGCGGUAGGGGAGAUUGGAAUUCCUGGUGUAGCGGUGGAAUGCGCAGAUAUCAGGAGGAACACCAAUGGCGAAGGCAGAUCGCUGGGCCGGAACUGACGCUGAGGAGCGAAAGCAUGGGGAGCGAACAGG
rnacentral:rRNA from 1 species